UUUUACUUCCGGUAUCUUAAUUGUAUAUUUUUGUGCCCCUUGUAAUAGGCUAGAAUGGCUUUGAAUGCUUAUACUUCUGACAAUGCAAAUACUGUGACUGUAUAUCUAGAUAAAUCUAAAAGUACGUUUGUAAGAGUCACAGACUAUGUGACUGGAACAUGAUUUGAUGCGCAGUAUUCUGUGGCAUAUUGACCAAUCAGAGCUAUCGAGGUCAGAUUAUUUUUGCUUCUGGAAAUCAGGCUGCACGCACAAUCUGACCUUCUUGACAACUUGUUACGAAUUUCUGAUGGUGUCUAAAAUUAUUAUUGUUUUUAGAUUAUCUUUAUUAUGGCAUCCCAUGUUUAGAAUAAAUCCUUUGUAAAGACA